AUAUAAAAGAUAUAUUGUAAAAAGUACAUAAAAUAAUUCCAAACCGCAUUUCGCCAAUAAACUGGCUUCCUCAGUUGGUAUAAUAAUCAUUGCGUCCUCUUGUUCUUUUAUAUGUACCUGAUGACAUGAUUGCCGGCAUCUGCCGAACCGGAAAUUCGCUCUGUGGAACGCACACAGAGCUAGUUGGAACGCACGUACGUGCGUGUAUACGGAAAUCACGUGGUUUGGCUGUUCGACUUCCUUUUUCUUCGUGGAACG